rnacentral:misc_RNA from 1 species
AAGUCGUAACAAGGUUUCCGUAGGUGAACCUGCGGAAGGAUCAUUAUCGAGUUUUGAACGGGUUGUAGCUGGCCUUUAACGAGGCAUGUGCACACCUGGCUCAUCCACUCUCAACCUCUGUGCACUUUAUGUAAGAAACGGUGUAAGCCAGCUAUUUAAUAGUUGGUAACAAGCCUUUCUUAUGUUUACUACAAACGCUUCAGUUAUAGAAUGUUUACUGUGUAUAACACAAUUAUAUACAACUUUCAGCAACGGAUCUCUUGGCUCUC